GCCGGGGUGGUGGAAUUGGUAGACACGCUAUCUUGAGGGGGUAGUGGGAGAAAUCCCGUAAGGGUUCGAGUCCCUUCUUCGGCACCA
rnacentral:tRNA from 2 species